AUUAGAAUGUUGAAGAGGAGAAGUAGAAAGGGUUUGCCAUAUGCAGAGAGAAUCACCUUUGGCUGUGAGUGAUUUUAUGGAACUCUUUUGAAAUGCACCUCCGAGUCACUUGUGGAAGAAGAGUAUACAAGUGCGAUUCUCUCCCGUUAUCGAGAGUGAAGGUGGAGAAGAGGUCGAUAAGCCUUAUUCUCAAUCAGAGUGGAACCGCGCGAAGAAAGCGUCUCUGUG
rnacentral:ncRNA from 1 species